rnacentral:lncRNA from 1 species
GGACCCCGAGAAGACCUCCUUUUUCCAGGCUUUAGGUAUCAUCACUAAAAUCUCCAGGGGCGCCAUUGAAAUCCUGAGUGAUGCGCAGCUGAUCAAGACGGGAGACAAAGUGGGAGCCAGUGAAGCCACGCUGCUGACCAUGCUCAACAUCUCCCCCUUCUCCUCUGGGCUGGUCAUCCAGCAGGUGUUCGACAACGGCAGCAUCUACAACCCUGAAGUGCUUGACAUCACAGAGGAAACUCUGUAUUCUCGCUUCCUGGAGGGUGUCCGCAAUGUUGCCGGUGUCUGUCCGCAGAUCCACUACCCAACU